CCCUUUCGGUUUAUCCAAAGUUGCAUUCAGGUUGGAGGAGCCAUCUAUCAAUUCUUCAAACUUUCUCUUGAUGGAUCCCACAGUUUGUUUGUCAAAACCUCCACCAGAGAUAACCAUAGCUUGGGCAAGUGCGUCCCAUUUGUUCAGUGUGGGAGCAACAUAGGUGUUGUCCAAGUAGUCAGGGACAAAGAAGUCUUCAGGUCUGGAGAUGGCAAGGGCAACUGGCUUGUGCCCGGAUUUUUCUGGUGCAGCUUCUUCAGUGUUGCUGGUCUCAGCAGCUUCUGUCCGGGGAGCAUUGCCCCUCUUCACGUAUUGUUUGAUUUGCCCAUUUCUAAUCAAUAUUUCAAUGGCGUCUUUCAAUUGGAUGCAGUCGUCAGUCAGAUGGCCGUAGCCUUUGUGGUACUUGCAGUAUUUGCUCUUGUCUUGGCCAGGCUUUGAGGGUUGUUGUCUUGGAAAUUUAAUUACUGCUUUAGAGAACUCAGCUGAGUUGCACUCUUUCCAAAUUUCUUCCUGAGUUUUACUAAGGGGAGUAUAGUUGCUGAAUGUGCUGCGAGGUCCACGGGGUUCUCUAGGCCUUUCGCCUCUUCGUCUUCCUCCUCCUCGGCUGGACUGUUCAGC
rnacentral:lncRNA from 1 species